UAGAAAAAGUGCAGUACAUUUUCAUGGUACGGUCAGUACUGUUUAUUUUUGUAAUAAAGUGAACUUAAUUUUUCCACUGAGUGUUAUAUUUUCAUUCAGUAGUAAUCGGUUAUUAGUAGGUGCUACCCGACUUAUCGGUUAUCGGCAUCUGUAAGAUCCACUGUCGAUCAGCCUUUAAAAUAGAUUAAUGUGUAUGACAUGAUCUUCUUUAAUUAAUAAAGAAAUGCGCUUGUUGACAACUUGCUGUGGUAUAAGGGGAAUAAAACACUUCAGAAUGUGCAGUUCUACUUUAGGGUGAUAACGGUCACUCCACUUCAUUGGAUUGUUGACUGUUUUCCUAUAACCGUAUGUUUAUUCCUUACAUAAAUUAAACACAAAGCAUGUAGGGGUUCUACAUGCAUGUAGUAUUUGUACAAUCAAUAACCUAUUAGAGUAAUACAUUGUGGUAUAUAAACUGAACUUUGUGUUUGAUGUGUCUGCAGUGCCCAAAGCCCGUGGUGGUGGCAGUGCAUGGCGGUUGUGUAUAAGCAGGUCUGUUGGGACUGUUAAGUACCAUCAUCUCAUACACUCACCACAACUCUGGGAAGUUCCAUCCAUAUUGUUUGCUGUCACUUUUCCUGCAAAGCUUUAACCAUCAGAGAGUUAUCUUUUACUGGGGCUUUUAGCUGCAGGAGACUGAAUUACUAAGUUUUUUUUUUUGUGGAUCUGAUUUCUUCUUUCGCAGGAGUGGAUCUAAUCACAGCCUGUGAUAUUCGUCUGUGCACACAGGAUGCCUGGUUUCAGGUGAAGUCGUGUGUUCCCUGAUAGUCAAUGAUUGCUGGAGCUCUGGAAAUAGCAGGUGAGAUUGCAGGCCGGAGUCGCGUCGCUGUCCAAGGAACCAAAAUCAACCUCCUCUACUCCUGAGACCACAGUGUGACUGAGAGCCUAGACUACAUGGCUACUUGGAACAUGAACAUGUUGCAGACACAGGAUCUUAUGAAGUCAGCGCAGGCAGCCCUGGAAAAGAAGAGUCCGAAAGACGUGCCCUUCUCCAAGCUUUAAAGGAGAAGAUCCAGGGCUGUUGAAGCUGCGGUGGAACUGAGACAUCAUCAUCCACAUAUCUUCAGUUCUUCUUGCUAAGUCUGUUUCUUUUUAGUCUUUUUAUUUUUAGACUGGUCAAAAGACUGAUUAGUGGAAGUGAAAUGAUAGAUGAACUUUUAAUUACUUGCUUUAUUAUUUGCAGGUGCCUUGUACAGUAAGACAGGGUAACUAAUACUCAAAAGCUUGUUUUGUGUGUUAACAUGUACAGUAGAUGGACAUAUUUUUUCUGGUGCUGUGACUGCAGAAUGUAGUGCAGUUAACACAUUAAAUUUCCUUGGAUGCUCACUUUUAACUCGAGGAGGUCACAGUUUGCCCAGACAUCUUUUUUUAAAUCCGUCAAUCCGUCACCCACACGUCAUUCUGUGGGACGAAGAGGAGGAAGCUGGACAGAUAAAUUUAUUUAUUUAUUUAUCAUUGCUGUGUUUCCUCAAUCGAGUGCAGAAAGAAGAAAAACAACACAACUGAUUUAAAAUAAAAAUAUAGAAAACAAUCUAAUGUAAGGUUCUGAUCCGGUUUGCUUUCAGCAGGAAGGCUGUCCUCUUUCCUGUUGCUCUUUCUCUUCUAUUAGUCCAUUUGUCCAGUCUGAAUCGGUUUUGAUUCGUUUCGAGACGAUUCGGAGUCGAAUAAUUUUCUAGUGAGAGUCGCACACUUCCAAACGAACUAGACUGAGAUGAGUAUUUGAUUCUCACUAGAAAGUGAUUCGACUCUGAAUAAACUCGAAAUGAAUCAGUCAAACUAUUUCAGACUCUAUAAAAGGACUAUGAGAUGUGAUUAAGAUAUAUAUUCCAAUGUUUUGCUUUACAAUUCCAUUGUGUGUGUGUGUGUGUGCGUGUGUGUGUGUGUGUGUAUGUGUGUGCGUGCGCGCGCACGUGUGUUUUUCAGGAGAACGAGAAACUCGGACACAACAGUACAUCCUGACCAUUGGUACUGUGUACACAUCAACAUACACACACGUCUCCAUGCUGGACAUCUCAGGAGCUUUCACACAGUGCUAGGAAUAUCCCGGGACAGAGAAACGCACCUUCUAAG